rnacentral:rRNA from 1 species
AUUGAACGCUGGCGGCAGGCUUAACACAUGCAAGUCGAACGAGUGGCGGACGGGUGAGUAAUGCUUGGGAAUCUGGCUUAUGGAGGGGGAUAACGACGGGAAACUGUCGCUAAUACCGCGUACCAUAGGAUGAGCCCAAGUGGGAUUAGGUAGUUGGUGGGGUAAUGGCCUACCAAGCCGACGAUCUCUAGCUGGUCUGAGAGGAUGAACGGCCACCUUGGGACUGGGACACGGCCCCGACUCCUACGGGAGGCAGCAGUGGGGAAGCUUCCGACAUGGACGAAAGGCUGACGGAGCAACGCCGCGUGAGGGAUGACGGCCUUCGGGUUGUAAAGCUCGUUAAGCGGGACGACGGUACCGGAAUAGAAAGCCACGACUAACUACGUGCCAGCCGCCGCGGUAAUUC